rnacentral:rRNA from 1 species
CCUACGGGUGGCAGCAGUGGGGAAUAUUGCGCAAUGGGCGAAACCCUGAUGCAGCGACGCCGCGUGAGUGAUGAAGUUUUUCGGAUCGUAAACCUCUGUCAGCAGGGAAGAACGGUCACUGUGCUAAUCAGCAGUGAAUUGACGGUACCUGCAAAGGAAGCACCGGCUAACUCCGUGCCAGCAGCCGCGGUAAUACGGAGGGUGCAAGCGUUAAUCGGAAUUACUGGGCGUAACGCGCUCGUAGGCGGUAUGUCAAGUCAAGGGUGAAAUCCCCGGGCUGAACGUGGGAACUGCCUUGGAAACUGGGAAACUGGAGUGUGUGAGAGGAUAGUGGAAUUCCAGGUGUAGGGGUGAAAUGCGUAGAUAUCAGGAGGAACAUCAGUGGCGAAGGCGACUAUCUGGAACAUAACUGACGCUGAGGAGCGAAAGCGUGGGUAGCAAACAGGAUUAGAUACCCUAGUAGUC